AAUAGAUACCCUGGUAGUCCAUGCCGUAAACGAUGUCUACUAGCCGUUGGGGCCUUUGAGGCUUUAGUGGCGCAGCUAACGCGAUAAGUAGACCGCCUGGGGAGUACGGUCGCAAGACUAAAACUCAAAUGAAUUGACGGGGGCCCGCACAAGCGGUGGAGCAUGUGGUUUAAUUCGAUGCAACGCGAAGAACCUUACCUGGCCUUGACAUACUAGAAACUUUCCAGAGAUGGAUUGGUGCCUUCGGGAAUCUAGAUACAGGUGCUGCAUGGCUGUCGUCAGCUCGUGUCGUGAGAUGUUGGGUUAAGUCCCGCAACGAGCGCAACCCUUUUCCUUACUUGCCAGCAUUUCGGAUGGGAACUUUAAGGAUACUGCCAGUGACAAACUGGAGGAAGGCGGGGACGACGUCAAGUCAUCAUGGCCCUUACGGCCAGGGCUACACACGUGCUACAAUGGUCGGUACAAAGGGUUGCUACACAGCGAUGUGAUGCUAAUCUCAAAAAGCCGAUCGUAGUCCGGA
rnacentral:rRNA from 1 species